GGGUUGCAGGUUCCGUUCCUUAGUUAAGGAAUGGAGUUCAAAAGUAUAGUGGAGCCCGCAAAUAGUAGUUUAAAGAACGGUUAAGGAACGAUGGGUGAACAGCGUUGUGGAUGCCCUAAAAACAAUCAAACCCUACAAAAUAAGAAUAGCCGCCGCUCUAGGUAGAAAUAGGAGAGGGAAGACAUGACAUGGCACGGUGGGAGGCUGAGACCUACUCUAUCAUAUGAAUAGCAAGGAGUAGGCAUAAAGAUGAAGAUGAUAGAAAAGAUGGCUUAUGAAGGAGAGAAGAAUAUGAUUAGCAACUUUGGAAAGGAAUAAUUUUAAGAUUCAUAGUAUUAAAUGCACGUGUAUUAUUUACUUUUUAGAAGACUACAAAUGCAGCUUUGGAAAUAGGAUCAGCACAACCUUUUAAAAAAAUAGUACUCCCUCCCUUCUAUAGUACAAGUUACAGUUUCAUUUUUAA